AUUGAACGCUGGCGGCAGGCCUAACACAUGCAAGUCGAGCGGACCGGCGGACGGGUGCGUAUUGCCUAGGAAUCUGCCUGGGCGUGGGGGCUAGCGUCCGGUAACGGGCGCUAUUACUGCUUACUCUCACAUUAGCCUAGGUCGGAUUAGCUAGUUGGUGGGGUAAAGGCUUACAAAGGCGACGAGCCGUAACUGGUCUGAGAGGAUGAUCAGUCACACUGGAACUGAGACACGGCCCAGACUCCUACGGGAGGCAGCAGGGGGGAAUAUUGGACAAUGGGCGAAAGCCUGAUCCAGCCAUGCCGCGUGUAUGAAGAAGGUCUUCGGGUUGUAAAGCACUUUAAGUUGGGAGGCGUUACCAGCAGAAUAAGCACCGGCUAACUUCGUGCCAGCAGCCGCGGUAAUUC
rnacentral:rRNA from 1 species